rnacentral:rRNA from 1 species
GAUGAACGCUGGCGGCGUGCCUAAUACAUGCAAGUCGAGCGAACGGACGAGAAGCUUGCUUCUCUGUUGUUAGCGGCGGACGGGUGAGUAACACGUGGAUAACCUACCUAUAAGACUGGGAUAACUUCGGGAAACCGGAGCUAAUACCGGAUAAUAUUUUGAACCGCAUGGUUCAAAAGUGAAAGACGGUCUUGCUGUCACUUAUAGAUGGAUCCGCGCUGCAUUAGCUAGUUGGUAAGGUAACGGCUUACCAAGGCAACGAUGCAUAGCCGACCUGAGAGGGUGAUCGGCCACACUGGAACUGAGACACGGUCCAGACUCCUACGGGAGGCAGCAGUAGGGAAUCUUCCGCAAUGGGCGAAAGCCUGACGGAGCAACGCCGCGUGAGUGAUGAAGGUCUUCGGAUCGUAAAACUCUGUUAUUAGGGAAGAACAUAUGUGUAAGUAACUGUGCACAUCUUGACGGUACCUAAUCAGGAAGCCACGGCUAACUACGUG